GACGAACGCUGGCGGCGGGCUUAACACAUGCAAGUCGAACGGAAAGGCCCUGCUUUUUUGGGGUGCUCGAGUGGCGAACGCGUGCGUAACACGUGAGUAACCUGCCCUUGACUUUGGGAUAGCUUCAGGAAACUGGGGCUACUACCGUAUAGGAUCUGCUGCUGCAUGGAGGGGGGGGGAAAUUCUCGGCGGUUGGGGAUGGACUCGCGGCUGACCAGCUUGUUGGUUGGGUAGUGGCUUACCAAGGCGGUGACGGGUAGCCGGCCUGAGAGGGUGACAGGCCACAUUGGGACUUAGGUGCGGCCCAGGCGGCUAAGGGAGGCAGCAGGGGGGAAUAUUGCACCAUGGGCGGCAGCCUGAUGCAGCAACGCCGCGUGCGGGAUGACGGUCUUCGGGGUGUAAACCACUUUCGCCUGAGACGAAGCGUGAGUGAAGGGAAUCGGAAAAGAAGCACCGGCUAACUACGUG
rnacentral:rRNA from 1 species